AAUUCCCAAAUCCGAAGGGGUCGGGGCCUGUCUUCUCCAAUAUUUACACAUAUGGGAAAAAUCCACAAGCGACAGCUGGGUACUGGAUAUUAUUCGGAGAGGAUACCUUCUAGAAUUCUUCAAGCAUCCUCCCAACAGGUCCUUUCAUCUCACAAAGUGGCCAGGGGACAAAGAGAAGCGUAUGGCUCUACAAAACUUCAUUCUAUCCUUACAAGCAGAAAAAGUCAUCACAAUUGUGCCGGCAGACGACAGAAAUCAGGGAUUCUACUCUCACAUCUUCCUAACAAAGAAAUCCUCAGGAGGAUGGAGACCUAUUCUGGAUCUACACAGAUUAAACAAGCAUCUACACAUUCGCAGAUUCAAGAUGGAAUCCCUACAGUCUAUUAUAAAAGUGGUUUUACCCAACCAAUGGAUGUUAUCUAUAGACCUGUUAGACGCCUACUUCCACAUACCCAUUGCCCUAUCCCAUCAAAGGUUUCUGAGGUUUGCCGUGGAAGAGGGUCAUUUCCAGUUCAGAGCACUCCCGUUUGGACUAAGCACAGCCCCAAGGACGUUCACAAAAGUGUUGGUGGUUCUGAUUGCAGAACUAAGAAAGCUGAAUAUCUCUGUCUAUCAUUAUUUGGACGACAUCCUGAUUAUAGGAAACAGCGAAGAUUCAUUGACCUCCCAAGCUAUUACCAGCAUUCAGUUUCUGCAAGCCCACGGCUGGAAGAUCAACACCAAGAAGAGCCACCUCCACCCAACUCAAUCUAUGAUUUAUUUAGGUGCUCACUUCGACACUCUGAGGGGUACUGUCCAACUUUCA